CAGUCGCCGCGGUAAAACGUAGGUGGCAAGCGUUGUCCGGAAUUAUUGGGCGUAAAGGGCUCGCAGGCGGUUUCUUAAGUCUGAUGUGAAAGCCCCCGGCUCAACCGGGGAGGGUCAUUGGAAACUGGGAAACUUGAGUGCAGAAGAGGAGAGUGGAAUUCCACGUGUAGCGGUGAAAUGCGUAGAGAUGUGGAGGAACACCAGUGGCGAAGGCGACUCUCUGGUCUGUAACUGACGCUGAGGAGCGAAAGCGUGGGGAGCGAACAGGUUUAGAGACCCCAGUAGUCCCUGUCUCUUAUAC
rnacentral:rRNA from 1 species